GACGAACGCUGGCGGCGUGCUUAACACAUGCAAGUCGAACGGAAAGGCCCAGCUUGCGGGGUGCGCGAGUGGCGAACGGGGGAGUAACACGUGUGUGAUCUGCGCCUAACUUCGGGAGAAGCUUUGGAAACUGUGGCGAAUAUCGGGUAGGACAAUCGCUGAUGGUUGGUGGGGGAAAGAUUGUUCGGUUGGGGAUGAGCCCGCGGCCUAUCAGCUUGUUGGUGGGGUAGUGGCCUACCAAGGCGUCGACGGGUAGCCGGCCUGAGAGGGUGGACGGCCACAUUGGGACUGAGAUACGGCCCAGACUCCUACGGGAGGCAGCAGUGGGGAAUAUUGCACAAUGGGCGCAAGCCUGAUGCAGCGACGCCGCGUGGGGGAUGACGGCCUUCGGGUUGUAAACCUCUUUCGCCAGGGACGAAGCUUUGGUGACGGUACCUGUAUAAGAAGCACCGGCUAACUACGUG
rnacentral:rRNA from 1 species